UGAAAACCUGAAUGUAACUACCCAUGUAAUUGUCAUUGUCAAUCUUCUAGUUACAUGGGUAGUUACAUUGGUAGAUACAUAUGUAGUUACAAUAAGUGUUUUGAGGUGUGAUAAGUAGAUACAUAUGUAGUUACAAUAAGUGUUUUGAGGUGUGAUAAGCUAACAUAUCAGACAAUUUUGUGCAGAGGAAGAUGAUGGGAAAGAAUAACAGAGAAAAGGAUACACAAGACAGAGAUGCUGACAUACAAGAAGCAAAGAAAAAAGAAGAAGGUAGAGUUGAUGAAAAGGCAAAGAAAAAAAAGAGAAAACAGUUGAUGAAGAGCAAAGAAGAAAAAGAAGAUAGCUGAUGAAGAGGGUGAUGAUGAACUGCUGGCCAAACUUUGCAAGCAGCAGAACAUGAAGAAGACACUAAGAAGGAUGAAGUUCUGAUGUAGAUUUUCUCUGGUUUAGUUUCAGAUAGGAAGCAUUACAAAUCAUACAUUGAGCUAAUUUUUCAAUAUAUUAGGAGCAAAUGGUUCAGGAAGUUGAGAGUAAAGUGUUCUAUUCUUUUUGAAUAGCUACAUGAAAGAUUAAAUGUUUUGAACAGAUUUCAAUGAAUAGACAUUGCUUUGCUUUGCUUUGCUUUCUUUUACAUUUUGUGUAUGUCAAUACAUGUAACUGGUUAUGUAGCAUAUAUGUAACUACCCAGGUAACUAUCAAUCUAUAGCUACAUGGAUAGUUACAUAGCUAGCUUAAUGUAGUUACAUAAGUCAAGUAUAUAAUAAUUGCAGCGUGCCGCUGCACCGCUACGGCAACGUUCUGCUGCUUUUACCAUGUUGUUGAACCGCGACGGACACUUUAUGCUUCUUGGCCAUAACAACAUACUCGAAUGCAAAAGUAACUGGACAUGUAACUAGUAAAUGCAAAUGUAGCUAUCUAUUUAUAGUUACAUGGAUAGUUACAUAGGUAGCUUAAUGUAGUUACACAAGUCAGGUACACAUAAUAAUUACACAAUCCAAAUGAUAAUAUCUUAAUAUGUAACUAGUCAAGUAACUGUUGAAAGCAACGUAACUGACUAUGUAACUGUUCAUGUAACAGUUCAAAUCCAAACGAUUCUCCCUCGCCUUGACUCAUCAAUCCUUCUGACUCCUCCGCAGGCUCUUUGUUAUUCCCGCCUGGUUCGUCAACCUCCUGGUCUUCGUUGGCUUGCUGGAGAAGGGUGCAGCAAACUGAAAUCGAAAAAAAAAGAAAAAAAAAANNNN
rnacentral:lncRNA from 1 species